CGCGAACCAUCGAGUCUUUGAACGCAAGUUGCGCCCGAGGCCACCCGGCUGAGGGCRCGCCUGCCUGGGCGUCA
rnacentral:rRNA from 1 species